AGAAAGAUGAAGUCUUCCGGUUUGAAAAUGACAAGUAUAAGUUCUCUGGUCUAGACCCCGUGAAUCUGUUCUUUCCUCUACCAAAGUCUAUACUUCAAUAUUUUUUAAAGUUCGGUAGUAGUUCGUUACCUCCUUCGAUAUCUAGGACCUCGUACCUUGAAUAUUUAGUGCGAUCCGGUGGUCGGUAAGACCUCCGUAACAGCGCUGCGUCGUCAUACCCGGCGAGCUAAUAAAAAACCGACGACCGUCAGCCAUGUGGCAAUUAACAAAGAGGUGGACUCAACAUGUGAUGGAAAAAUAAAAAUAAAUCUAAGAAAGUCUAAAAGUCAAAUAAUGAAGGCACUCAAUAGACGUAAGACGUAUUUCGAAUCCGAAAUUAACUAACAAUACAGUUCACUUUAGUACGUACUAUUCCUAAUAACGACAACCUCCUUUGUAACACAUGUUAUACAAACCACCCUCAAUUUUCUUCCCCUUGUAUAAUAACACUACAAUAUCAAAGAACCUUCAUCAAAGUAGAUAAACAAAUGUUGUAACUACCGAACGACGGAAAAUCAUAACCUUACACAUUAGUGUACGCAAGAAUAUAGAAGAUGCAAUAAGAGCAAAAUUGAGGGCAGGACGCCUAAUAGGAUCCAACAUCCGCUUCUACUUGAGGACUACCAGAUGUGACAGGACGAAACGGUACCUUCAUUUACUCGGUUGCACAUGGUCCCUUAUACGUAUAUGUGGUGUAGAUUAGGUCGUGAUAAAAGAACACCGCUGGCCGCUCCUCUUCUAUGUUUACGGAAGUUUAGGUGGUGAAUAGGGGUGAUGAUAAAGAAACGGAUAAAAAACAGAAGAGAGAUUAAUACCAAGAAAACAAAUAAAAAAUAAUAGACGUCCGAUUCGUUUGGAACUGAGACCGAUUAACCAGAACCUUCGACCUUUGGUCAAGUAUAUAUUCUAAGGAUCCACCACCAGAUGCAGAGAAUAAAAGAUAAUCACUCACGAGUAAAAGGAGUAGACCUCGAUACCAUAAUAGAAACCAAAGUAGUAUAAAAGGAAGGGACUAAAAACAACUACGAACCGAUACAAUACCCUACCCUGGAGGUACACGGUCAUAAAAAUCGGCUAGUCAUACACCACGAUUUUUUAAUUAGACAUGUCUUACUGCAACACGUGUAGGUUGGGGUUCGUUACAUUCUUUGGAUAAUAAACUGAUCGACAUACCAUGUAGAGUAUGUCAAAGAUUAUGACAACAAGGAUAAUUAACCUAUGCGGUUUCCCGUUUCAAUUACAAAACAAGUAGCGAAGAUAUGGGCAAAGAAGUACAAAGAAGUACAAACCAUCACUGGUCCCAAAGGUACAUGAACUAUCUAUGAAAGGAGUACGAUACACAAAAUACAUACGUAUAUACAAAGACCGGUAUUUAUAUAUCGACCGAGGUUGAAAAUGACGAAAGGCACCUUGAAACUUUUCAUGGGAAAUUAGGUGAUUAAGACCUGGACAAUCAAACCCGUGACUUUUGAAACUUUUCAUGGGAACUUAAUCUCCUAAUUUGAUUGUCCAGGUUUUAGGACUUCGGGUUUACUUAGUCAAAAGUCAAAUUUACUUACCACAAUAUCCUCUUCGAUUAGACUUACAAACGUGCCCUAAUGAAUUGAACUGUAUGUAAUAGACCUAGGAACCGGUGAAGAUACGUUUUCGCAAGCUAGAGAAUGAGGUGAUACCUCAAACUAGCUCUUCAAACCCGGAAACCAGUAGACAAUGGACUUUGAAAUUUAGACUGAUGUUUCGGAGGUUUCAGUUUUGAGUUAAGUACAUUUUUAGCCGUUCUCAAAUCUCCUAAACCGAGGUGUAAAAAACUAGAACAAUCAUGAAAGUGGAACGAUUAAGUUUUACACACUUAGGAUUACUUGAGACAUCUCAUCCUCUUUGAUGGUGUUCAGUUCCACUCUGGGUACGGACUUUUCCCCUUUAGUGAGACCUCAGCCGAGUUCUUGUUCCGAUCUGGGCUUAGAACAAAUGAGUGACAUAAGUGAUAGAUAUUUCAACAUACAAAUAAAAGAAACGUUUGUUCACAACCUUAUAACCGAAGAGUAUGGAUACAUGUCAUUGAAUUCAUAUAGGGGCCUCUGAAAUACUAGUCGUUAGUAUGUUUCAUUUACUACGCAAAAGAAAGUUUAUCUAUCUGUUUUCCACCUGGCUCCCGAAGAAACGGUGUAGGUACCGAUAACGACCUUCAACUAACCUCCAGAACUGCAGGUCUUUACGAUCAAAACAUCUAAUCCGUUCACAUAAGAAGUAAAAGACGACGACACACACGUGUAUCAUGUACACUUAAGACGGACGUAAGGUAAAGUAUUUAAUUAACUCGUAAGAUUAUUAACUCUGAACAAAUUGAAAACAUCCUUCGUUUGUAUUCCUGAGCUGAGUGUUACUUGGUACUUCGGUCGCUAGACGUAUUUUACCUACAGAGUAUCAACGUCAGAAAAGCGACAGGAAACAACUUGGACUACAUACCACAGAACCACCAAUACAAACCUUGUUGACUUCACAUACAUACACUGGUAAUCAAUUACCUUAUUUUUUACAAACCAC
rnacentral:rRNA from 1 species